UUAAAUACUUCACUUAAAAAUAAUUAAUAGUUGGAAUGAUACAGAGAAGAUUAGCGUGGCCCCUAUGUAAGGAUGACAGGAAAAAAAAAAAUCUAUGUUUUAAAUGUUU
ensembl:snRNA U6 U6 spliceosomal RNA